GUGCUUGCUUGGGCAGCACAUAUACUAAAAUUGGAAGGAUACAGAGACGAUUAGCACGGCCCCUGUGCAAGGAUGAAACAUAAAUACAUGAAGCAUUUUGUAUUUUU